AACUUUUAAGAAUUUAUUUAUUUUUGAGACAGAGCCUUGCUGUGUCACUCAGGCUGGAGUGCAGUGGCGUGAUCUCGGCUCACUGCAACCUCUGCCUCCCAGGUUCAAGCGAUUCUCCUGCCUAAGCCUCCGUAGUAGCUAGGAUUACUGGCGCCUGCCACCAUGCUCGGCUAAUAUUUGCAUUUUUAGUAGAGAUGGCAUUUUGCUAUGUUGGCAAGGCUGGUCUGGAACUCCUGGCCUCAAGUGAUUCGCCCGCCUCGGCCUCGCAAAGUGCUGGGAUGACAGGCGUGAGCCACUGGGCCCUGCCUAAUAAAUUGCUCUGGACAAGAUCAGCGACACCCAAAGUUGCUAAAUAAAAUGGAUACCUCUCAGUCUUUCGGUUCCUAGAACUUUGUGUGGUAUUUAAUAACUGUCUGUUCCCUCCCUCCCUCCCUCCCUUCCUUCCUUCCUUCCUUCCUUUCCCAGAGUUUUGCUCUUGUUGCCAAGGCUGGAGUGCAGUGGCGCGAUCUCGGCUCACUGAAACCUCCGCCUCCCGGGUUCAAGCGAUUCUCCUGCCUCAGCCUCCCGAGUAGCUGGAAUUACAGGCGUGCACCACCACGCCUGGCUAAUUUUUUUAUUUUUUAGCAGAGACGGGGUUUCACCAUGUUGGUCAGGCUGGUCUCGAACUCCUGACCUCAGAUGAUCCUCCCACCUUGGCCUCCCAAAGUGCUGGGAUUACAGGCGUGAGCCGCCACGCCCAGCUAAUUUGUUUUCUUAUUCAUGAAAUGUUUUUGGCCAUCUACUAUGUGCCAAGCCUCUAGGCAUUGGGAAUACAUUGGUGAACAAAGCAGAUAUGUCCCAUAGUUUCCUAGAGCUUACUUUCUAGUGGGAUUGAAGACAAUUUUGUCAUUGUUGAAACUCCAUCCUGAGAUUUCAUGACACCACUCUCUCCUGGUAUCUUAACCCUAUGACCAUCUUCCUCAGUCUUCUCUGCUGGAUGUUUUUAAUAUACUUACUCCCUAAAUGAUGAUGUUUCUUUUUGUUUGUUUGUUUUUUGAGACGGAGUCUCGCUCUGUCGCCCAGGCUGGAGUGUAGUGGCCGGAUCUCAGCUCACUGCAAGCUCCGCCUCCCGGGUUUACGCCAUUCUCCCGCCUCAGCCUCCGGAGUAGCUGGGACUACAGGCCCCUGCCACCUCGCCACCUCGCCCGGCUAGUUUUUUUGUAUUUUUUAAGUAGAGACGGGGUUUCACCGUGUUAGCCAGGAUGGUCUGGAUCUCCUGACCUUGUGAUCCGCUCGUCUCGGCCUCCCAAAGUGCUGGGAUUACAGGCUUGAGUCACCGCGCCCGACAAAUGAUGAUGUUUCUGAGAAUUCUGCUCUGAGCCCUCUUUGUUUAUUACAGAUACUCUUCCUAAGUGAAAUUGCCUUUAACACCUGUAUGAGAACAAAAUUUACAUCUCUAGCCCUAAUCUCUUUCCUGAGCUCCAGACUAGUAUAUCUGAUUGUCUCCUGGCUAUUCCUUUUGCCCCAAAAGCACAUCAAACAUGAAAUGACCAAUAAUUUCUAUCUUUUCCACUAGAGUUCCUCUCCUGAAUUUCCCAUUUGUAUGAUUGGCUCAUCAACUACCCAGUUACUAAAAUCAGAAGUCUGAGAGUCAUCUUAGAUUCCCCUCCCACUUAUGCUCCACAGCUGUUUGCCCACAUUGUCGGUUUUACUUCCCUGAGUCUCUUUCAAAUAUCUCCUUACCCUUCUCCAUCGUGUUUGCCAUUGUAUUAGUUCAGACCUUUGCAAUUUCAAGCCUGUGGUAUUGCAGUAAUCUUAUAGAAAAGGGAAGCUUUAUAGCAUUUUCAUACUCAUGAAAUUAAAUAUGAAGAAUGAACGAAUAAAUUCAUUUCAUGAUGAGGAACCUGAGUUUUGAAGCUGGACUCUCUGGGUUUGAAUCUUAGCUCUGUCACUUACUAGUUUUGUAUAUAUUUUUUUAGGGGGGCAGGCAGUGGGGGACGGAGUCUCGCUCUGUCACCCAGGCUGGAGGGCAGUGGCGUGAUCUUGGCUUACUGCAACCUCCACCUCCCCGGUUCAAGCAAUUCUCCUGCCUCAGCCUCCUGAGUAGCUGGGAGUACAGGCAUUCGCUGCCACACCCGGCUAAUUUUUUUGUAUCUUAGUAGAGACAGGGUUUCACCAUGUUGCCCAGGCUGGUCUCGAACUGCUGAGAUCAGGCAAUCCACUCGCCUCGGCCUCCCAAACUGCUAGGAUUAUAGGCGUGGGCCUCUGUGCCCAGCCUAGUUUUAUAAUUUUUGAGUAAGUCUCUUAACUAUCUGUGCCUUUGUUUCCUCGUAUUUAUUUGUUUAUUUAGAGAUGGAGUCUUGCUCUGUUACCCACGCUGGAGUGCAAUGGCCUGAUCUUGGCUCACU
rnacentral:lncRNA from 1 species